rnacentral:rRNA from 1 species
AACGAACGCUGGCGGCGUGCUUAACACAUGCCAGUCGAACGGAAAGGCCCUGCUUUUGUGGGGUGCUCGAGUGGCGAACGGGUGAGUAACACGUGAGUAACCUGCCCUUGACUUUGGGAUAACUUCAGGAAACUGGGGCUAAUACCGGAUAGGAGCUCCUGCUGCAUGGUGGGGGUUGGAAAGUUUCGGCGGUUGGGGAUGGACUCGCGGCUUAUCAGCUUGUUGGUGGGGUAGUGGCUUACCAAGGCUUUGACGGGUAGCCGGCCUGAGAGGGUGACCGGCCACAUUGGGACUGAGAUACGGCCCAGACUCCUACGGGAGGCAGCAGUGGGGAAUAUUGCACAAUGGGCGGACGCCUGAUGCAGCAACGCCGCGUGCGGGAUGACGGCCUUCGGGUUGUAAACCGCUUUCGCCUGUGACGAAGCGUGAGUGACGGUAAUGGGUAAAGAAGCACCGGCUAACUACGUG